UACGAACUGUGCGAACGUUAUUCGGAAUCACUGGGCUUACAGGGUGCGUAGGCGGCUUGUUAAGUAGGGUGUGAAAGCCCCCGGCUCAACCGGGGAAUUGCGCCCUAAACUGGCGAGCUGGAGUGAGAUAGGGGUGUGUGGAACUUCCGGUGGAGCGGUGAAAUGUGUUGAUAUCGGAAGGAACGCCGGUGGCGAAGGCGGCUCUCUGGGACGGUACUGACGCUGAGGCGCGAAAGCGUGGGGAGCAAACAGG
rnacentral:rRNA from 1 species